UUAAUUGAAGCUAAAAUAGAGGCAACUUAUUGUUAAUAAGAAAAAUGAUAUAAUAUCCAAUUAAA
rnacentral:tRNA from 1 species